UACGUAGGGUGCGAGCGUUAAUCGGAAUUACUGGGCGUAAAGCGUGCGCAGGCGGUUUUGUAAGCCAGAUGUGAAAGCCCCGGGCUCAACCUGGGAAUGGCAUUGGAAACUGGCAAGCUAGAGUGUGGCAGAGGGGGGUGGAAUUCCGCGUGUAGCAGUGAAAUGCGUAGAGAUGCGGAGGAACACCGAUGGCGAAGGCAGCCCCCUGGGCCAACACUGACGCUCAGGCACGAAAGCGUGGGGAGCAAACAGG
rnacentral:rRNA from 1 species